rnacentral:rRNA from 1 species
GGCCUAACACAUGCAAGUCGAGCGGCAGCGGGAAAGUAGCUUGCUACUUUUGCCGGCGAGCGGCGGACGGGUGAGUAAUGCCUGGGAAAUUGCCCAGUCGAGGGGGAUAACAGUUGGAAACGACUGCUAAUACCGCAUACGCCCUACGGGGGAAAGCAGGGGACCUUCGGGCCUUGCGCGAUUGGAUAUGCCCAGGUGGGAUUAGCUAGUUGGUGAGGUAAUGGCUCACCAAGGCGACGAUCCCUAGCUGGUCUGAGAGGAUGAUCAGCCACACUGGAACUGAGACACGGUCCAGACUCCUACGGGAGGCAGCAGUGGGGAAUAUUGCACAAUGGGGGAAACCCUGAUGCAGCCAUGCCGCGUGUGUGAAGAAGGCCUUCGGGUUGUAAAGCACUUUCAGCGAGGAGGAAAGGUCAGUAGCUAAUAUCUGCUGGCUGUGACGUUACUCGCAGAAGAAGCACCGGCUAACUCCGUGCCAGNNGCNNNGGUAAUAAAA